UUUUUUUUAGACGGCAACAACAGCAAUUACUUUUGCACUACCCUAAUAGUAAACUAAUUUCUUAUUGACGAAAGAAAAAUAUUUUUAAGUAAAUUUAGUGAAGCUAAGUGUACGGUGUUUAUUAAGUCUACAGUAGGAUACAGUGACGUCCUAGGCCACUCACCACUCACUCCCUGACUCACCCAGACCAAUUACUAGUCCUGGAAGCUCCACUCAUGGUAAGAGUCACAUCUCUCGGUCGUUCUCAGCAGUUUCCAGAGAGACUCAAGCUGUUGCCAGGGAGCAUCCAGCAGACGGGAAGACAGAUGAUGCUGGAGACUGAGGAGCGACCUGCUGGAAGGAGAACAGUCCUUGGGGCGGAAUUCUGAGUGGGAUCCAACACAUUCAACAGCCGAUUGUGGAAUGAACAAACAACAGCUCAGCGCUUCCUUCUCCAAUGGGAUUAACUCUGCUUUCUCCUGCCCAGAGGGGGGGUUGGCCGCAGAGGAGCCAGGACAGUGCUCUGUCCCCUGUGUUCCAGUCCACAUCCCCCUCACCCCCGCCUGUCCUCAUGGUCUACGUGCCCAUGGGGAUACACUGGCCUGUGCAUUGCUUCCUGCUGGGUCUCAGACUCGGGGCUGUGGCAGAUGGGGACAGGGCCUGUCCUGGCACCAUCUGCCAAUUCCCUUUGUACUCCCAGUCCAUGAGGAAGUUGACUCUGCCCUGAAAACGACUGUUCCUGUGGUCCAUAAACAAAGGAAUGGUGAGCCAGGCAUGAGCUGUGGGCCCCAGGGGUGGGGCUGGGGGUCACCGUAGCAGAGGUAGCUGAGACUGUGGGAGGGAGGCUGGUGCCUCCUUGGUCCCCCUGAGGAUUUCAUGCCUGAUUUCUGGCACUGCCCAGCCUCUGCUCCAACCUCUCUGGAGGCAAAGGAGGUAACAGGAGGGCACAAGGCCAGGAAGUGUCAUUGGGAGCAAGGAAGGCGGCUGGUGGGCUAGCAGGAAAUGGGAUGGUCUGUGAGACCAGAUUAGUAGCAGAGGAGGAAGCAAC
rnacentral:lncRNA from 1 species